GACGGCACCAUCGGAGCUUUGGAUGCGCGCCACUUGUUCGCGCAUAAAAUGUCAGCCGGUGCCGUCUACCAUCUCGCCCUUUCUUCAAAUCUGCAGAAGCUCGGCUUCGAAAUCGGCGAAGUCGGCAAGAACGGCACGUUCGAAGUCAUCGUGCCGCAGACGCAGAUCAGCGGCGACCAAUCUCAGCGUCUCGCCGAUCGCUUCACUGCUUUGCAGCGCCACUUUUCGGCGCGCC
rnacentral:misc_RNA from 1 species